rnacentral:rRNA from 1 species
UGCCGCGUGCAGGAUGAAGGCCUUCGGGUUGUAAACUGCUUUUGUACGGAAAGAAAAGACUCUGGUUAAUACCUGGGGUCCAUGACGGUACCGUAAGAAUAAGCACCGGCUAACUACGUGCCACCCGCCGCGGUAAUACAUACGGUGCAAGCGUUAAUCGGAAUUACUGGGCGUAAAGCGUGCGCAGGCGGUUAUAUAAUACUGAUGUGACAUCCCCGGGCUCAACCUGGGAACUGCAUUUGUGACUGUUUGAAUUGAGUACGGUAGAGGGGGAUGGAAUUCCGCGUGUAGCAAUGAAAUGCGAAUAUGUGCGGAGGAACACCGAUAGCGAAGGUAAUCCCCUGGACCUGUACCGACUCUAAUGCACGAAAGCGUGGGGAGAAAACAGGAUUAGAUACCCUGGUACUCCACGCCCUAAACGAUGUCAACUGGUUGUUGGGUCUUCACUGACUCAUUAACGAAGCUAACGCGUGAAGUUGACCGCCUGGGGAGUACGGCCGCACUGUUGAAACUCGAAGGAAUUGACGGGGACCCGCACCAGCGGUGGAUGAUGUGGAUUAAUUCGAUGCGACGCGUAACAACCUUACCCACCUAUGACAUGUAUUGAAUCCUUU